rnacentral:rRNA from 1 species
CGGGGUGGAGUAAUGCUUGGGAAUCUAGCUUAUGGAGGGGGAUAACUACGGGAAACUGUAGCUAAUACCGCGUAGAAUCGGGAGAUGAAAGUGUGGGACCUUCGGGCCACAUGCCAUAGGAUGAGCCCAAGUGGGAUUAGGUAGUUGGUGAGGUAAAGGCUCACCAAGCCGACGAUCUCUAGCUGGUCUGAGAGGAUGACCAGCCACACUGGGACUGAGACACGGCCCAG